rnacentral:rRNA from 1 species
UCUGGUUGAUCCUGCCAGUAGUCAUAUGCUUGUCUCAAAGAUUAAGCCAUGCAUGUCUAAGUAUAAGCAAUUUAUACAGUGAAACUGCGAAUGGCUCAUUAAAUCAGUUAUCGUUUAUUUGAUAGUUCCUUUACUACAUGGUAUAACUGUGGUAAUUCUAGAGCUAAUACAUGCUUAAAAUCUCGACCCUUUGGAAGAGAUGUAUUUAUUAGAUAAAAAAUCAAUGUCUUCGGACUCUUUGAUGAUUCAUAAUAACUUUUCGAAUCGCAUGGCCUUGUGCUGGCGAUGGUUCAUUCAAAUUUCUGCCCUAUCAACUUUCGAUGGUAGGAUAGUGGCCUACCAUGGUUUCAACGGGUAACGGGGAAUAAGGGUUCGAUUCCGGAGAGGGAGCCUGAGAAACGGCUACCACAUCCAAGGAAGGCAGCAGGCGCGCAAAUUACCCAAUCCUAAUUCAGGGAGGUAGUGACAAUAAAUAACGAUACAGGGCCCAUUCGGGUCUUGUAAUUGGAAUGAGUACAAUGUAAAUACCUUAACGAGGAACAAUUGGAGGGCAAGUCUGGUGCCAGCAGCCGCGGUAAUUCCAGCUCCAAUAGCGUAUAUUAAAGUUGUUGCAGUUAAAAAGCUCGUAGUUGAACUUUGGGCCCGGUUGGCCGGUCCGAUUUUUUCGUGUACUGGAUUUCCAACGGGGCCUUUCCUUCUGGCUAACCUUGAGUCCUUGUGGCUCUUGGCGAACCAGGACUUUUACUUUGAAAAAAUUAGAGUGUUCAAAGCAGGCGUAUUGCUCGAAUAUAUUAGCAUGGAAUAAUAGAAUAGGACGUUUGGUUCUAUUUUGUUGGUUUCUAGGACCAUCGUAAUGAUUAAUAGGGACGGUCGGGGGCAUCAGUAUUCAAUUGUCAGAGGUGAAAUUCUUGGAUUUAUUGAAGACUAACUACUGCGAAAGCAUUUGCCAAGGAUGUUUUCAUUAAUCAAGAACGAAAGUUAGGG